rnacentral:rRNA from 1 species
UGGGGAAUAUUGGACAAUGGGCGAAAGCCUGAUCCAGCAAUGCCGCGUGAGUGAUGAGGGCCUUAGGGUUGUAAAGCUCUUUUUACCAGGGAUGAUAAUGACAGUACCUGGAGAAUAAGCUCCGGCUAACUCCGUGCCAGCAGCCGCGGUAAUACGGAGGGAGCUAGCGUUGUUCGGAAUUACUGGGCGUAAAGCGUACGUAGGCGGUGACUCAAGUCAGAGGUGAAAGCCUGGAGCUCAACUCGGAACGGUCAGAUGAUACUGCUUUGCUAGAGUGCAGAAGGGGCAAUCGGAAUUCUUGGUGUAGCGGUGAAAUGCGUAGAUAUCAAGAGGAACACCUGAGGUGAAGACGGGUUGCUGGGCUGACACUGACGCUGAGGCGCGAAAGCCAGGGGAGCAAACGGGAUUAGAUACCCUAGUAGUCCCUGAGCGGGCUGGCAAGGCGCAU